rnacentral:rRNA from 1 species
GACGAACGCUGGCGGCGUGCUUAACACAUGCAAGUCGAACGGUGAAGGUGGAGCUUGCUCCGCCGGAUCAGUGGCGAACGGGUGAGUAACACGUGGGCAACCUGCCCCUCACUUCGGGAUAACUCCGGGAAACCGGGGCUAAUACCGGAUACGACCUCCUUGGGCAUCCUUGGAGGUGGAAAGUUUUUCGGUGAGGGAUGGGCCCGCGGCCUAUCAGCUUGUUGGUGAGGUAGUGGCUCACCAAGGCGACGACGGGUAGCCGGCCUGAGAGGGCGACCGGCCACACUGGGACUGAGACACGGCCCAGACUCCUACGGGAGGCAGCAGUGGGGAAUAUUGCGCAAUGGGCGAAAGCCUGACGCAGCAACGCCGCGUGCGGGAUGAUGGCCUUCGGGUUGUAAACCGCUUUCAGCAGGGAAGAAGCCGCAGGGUGACGGUACCUGCAGAAGAAGCACCGGCUAACUACGUGCCAGCCGCCGCAGUAA